rnacentral:rRNA from 1 species
UACGUAGGGGGCAAGCGUUGUCCGGAUUUAUUGGGCGUAAAGAGCGUGUAGGCGGCUGGGUAGGUCCGUUGUGAAAACUCGAGGCUCAACCUCGAGACGCCGAUGGAAACCCUCCAGCUAGAGUCCGGAAGAGGAGAGUGGAAUUCCUGGUGGUAGCGGUGAAAAUGCGCAGAUAUCAGGAAGAACACCCGUGGCUAAGGCGGCUCUCUAGUACGGUACUGACGCUGAGACGCGAAAGCGUGGGGAGCGAACAGG